AUUGAACGCUGGCGGCAUGCCUUACACAUGCAAGUCGAACGGUAAUAGGUCUUCGGAUGCUGACGAGUGGCGAACGGGUGAGUAAUACAUCGGAACGUGCCCGCGAGUGGGGGAUAACGAGGCGAAAGCUUUGCUAAUACCGCAUACGAUCUCAGGAUGAAAGCAGGGGACCGCAAGGCCUUGCGCUCACGGAGCGGCCGAUGGCAGAUUAGGUAGUUGGUGGGAUAAAAGCUUACCAAGCCGACGCUCUGUAGGUAGUCUGAGAGGACGACCAGCCACACUGGGACUGAGACACGGCCCAGACUCCUACGGGAGGCAGCAGUGGGGAAUUUUGGACAAUGGGCGCAAGCCUGAUCCAGCCAUGCCGCGUGCAGGAUGAAGGCCUUCGGGUUGUAAACUGCUUUUGUACGGAACGAAAAGACUCUGGUUAAUACCUGGGGUCCAUGACGGUACCGUAAGAAUAAGCACCGGCUAACUACGUGCCAGCCGCCGCCGUAAGAC
rnacentral:rRNA from 1 species